rnacentral:misc_RNA from 1 species
AGGGAAUUUGCUUUGCAGGAAAGAGACUUGGCAGAGAAAGAGGUGGAAAGGCUUAGGCAGAUAGUGAGACGUCAGCGGAAAGAGUUGAAGGCUAGGAUGUUGGAGGUCUCAAGGGAGGAGGCUGAGCGUAAGCGCAUGCUUGACGAGAGGUCUAACUACAGGCAUAAACAAGUAAUGCUGGAGGCUUAUGAUCAACAGUGUGAAGAAGCUGCAAAAAUAUUUUCCGAGUACCAUAAACGUCUAAGUUAUUAUAUAAACCAAGCAAGGAACGUUAAGCGAUCUAGUGUUGAUUCCUCUGCUGAGGUGGUUACUACUUUUCAGGCAAAUGAGAAAGAUGUUUAUUCGACUUCUAAA